rnacentral:rRNA from 1 species
UACGUAGGUGGCAAGCGUUGUCCGGAUUUACUGGGCGUAAAGAGCGCGCAGGCGGUCAGAUAAGUCGAAUGUGAAAGCCCCCGGCUCAACUGGGGAGGGUCAUUCGAUACUGUUCGACUCGAAGGCAGGAGAGGGAAGUGGAAUUCCCGGUGUAGUGGUGAAAUGCGUAGAUAUCGGGAGGAACACCGGUGGCGAAGGCGGUUCUCUGGGCAUGACCUGACGCUGAGGAGCGAAAGUGUGGGGAGCGAACAGG